ACGGAAGGCAGCAGUGGGGAAUAUUGGUCAAUGGGGGAAACCCUGAACCAGCAACGCCGCGUGAAGGAUGAAGGUUUUCGGAUUGUAAACUUCUUUGACGAGGAACGAUAAUGACGGUACCUCGAAAACAAGCCACGGCUAACUACGUGCCAGCAGCCGCGGUAAUACGUAGGUGGCGAGCGUUGUCCGGAUUUACUGGGUGUAAAGGGCGUGUAGGCGGAUCAACAAAUCAGAUGUGAAAACCCGCGGCUUAACUGCGGGACUGCAUUUGAAACUGUAAGUCUUGAGUACUGGAGAGGAAAGCGGAAUUCCCGGUGUAGCGGUGAAAUGCGUAGAUAUUGGGAGGAACACCAGUGGCGAAGGCGACUUACUGGACUGUAACUGACGCUGAGGCGCGAAAGUGCGGGGAGCAAACAGGAUUAGAUACCCUGGUA
rnacentral:rRNA from 1 species